rnacentral:rRNA from 1 species
GCAAUGAGGGAUGCUCAACAGGGGAAGAUCAAGUUCAACAGAGAGAACGACGCGCUGACAAAAGCCCUCGGGAAUCCUGAACACGGAGGACGUGUACGAGGCAUGGGGCACAUUCCGUGGAAAAUAGGGUUCCCCCAGAACGAUGACCCGUACGGUUACAGAAGCCGUAAGAGAAAGAUGGAUCGGGAAGCAGAUGUUGUGGCGCGGUUGGCAUCGGAAAUGGAUGUGAUGAAGAAAACCAUGAGUGUACUAGUAGCCGAAAGAGAUGCAGCUCGGGUGCAGCAUGAAGAUCAUCCAGCGGAUCUCGGAAGCCAGCAGCGGAGAAGCGGCGUGGCUUCCACGGAGGCCCCACCGGCUGGUGCAGAUGCACCGACGAUCGAAAUUACUGCACCGGAGCCUCUGGUGGUCCAAAUUACUGCACCGGAGCCUCUGGUGGUCGAAAUUACUUCACCGGAGCCUCCUCGCUACCCCGUGGACGAUAUAAAGGAGAUAAAAGAAUGUCAUCUGUAUUAUCCUAUCGGGAACAUGUCCAUGAAGGUAGCCAUCGGCAGUGCUUUACCAUGUUUACCUGGAGCACUCCACCACAACAACCCCAUUCAAGAUGGCUAUGCUCGUGUCACGGUGGAGGACAUAGUCCAAGGGUUUGAGGACCUGGAGAUUGACAUUGCUACACCUGAAG